CUUCCGUUCAGGGAGAGUGAGGUUGCUGGUGUCUCUUCCGUGGGGCGGGCUUGUCAGUUCCGCGUCUUGCUUGCCCUUCCAAAUUUCCUGGAUCCAUGCAUGGGAUGUGCAAUUACCUGGCAAUCGACUUAGGGGAAAAGAAUCCUCGGCGGAGAGUGCAGGUGCGGAGGAGCAAAGGCGUUAGUGUGCGUUCCCCUAGGCGGAGCGGUUGGGGUAUUCUGGAGACUCUGAGAGGACCAGCUCCCGUCGCAUAUCUCCUAGACGUGACCUCAAAAACAACUACAGGAGGUAGGAGUGACUCCUGGGCUACUAACUGCAAAGCUCCACGCAGAUUGUUCACCCUCUGAGACACCAGGGAAGCCCCAAU